rnacentral:rRNA from 1 species
GAUGAACGCUGGCGGCGUGCUUAACACAUGCAAGUCGAACGGGCUCAUAUUGAAACCUAGUGAUGUAUGAGUUAGUGGCGGACGGGUGAGUAACGCGUGGAGAACCUGCCGUAUACUGGGGGAUAACACUUAGAAAUAGGUGCUAAUACCGCAUAAGCGCACAGCUUCGCAUGAAGCAGUGUGAAAAACUCCGGUGGUAUACGAUGGAUCCGCGUCUGAUUAGCGGGUUGGCGGGGUAACAGCCCACCAAGGCGACGAUCAGUAGCCGGCCUGAGAGGGUGAACGGCCACAUUGGGACUGAGACACGGCCCAA